rnacentral:sRNA from 1 species
GCCAGGCACAGUGGUGUAUGCCUGUAAUCCCAGCAGCUAAAGAGGCUGAGAUAGGAGGAUUGCCAGUUCAAAGCCAUCCUUAGUAACCUCAGGCACUAAGCAAUUGACUGAGACCCUGUCUCUA